rnacentral:rRNA from 1 species
AUACGUAGGGUGCGAGCGUUGUCCGGAAUUACUGGGCGUAAAGAGCUCGUAGGUGGUUUGUCGCGUCGUCUGUGAAAUUCCGGGGCUUAACUCCGGGCGUGCAGGCGAUACGGGCAUAACUUGAGUACUGUAGGGGAGACUGGAAUUCCUGGUGUAGCGGUGAAAUGCGCAGAUAUCAGGAGGAACACCGGUGGCGAAGGCGGGUCUGUGGGCAGUAACUGACGUUGAGGAGCGAAAGCAGGGGUAGCGAACAGGAUUAGAUACCCUGGUAGUCCAUGCCGUAAACGGUGGGCGCUAGGUGUAGGGGUCUUCCACGACUUCUGUGCCGUAGCUAACGCAUUAAGCGCCCCGCCUGGGGAGUACGGCCGCAAGGCUAAAACUCAAAUGAAUUGACGGGG